AUGACUUUACAGUCAAAUGGUUUCAAACAAUUUCAUCUCAUGUGUAGUUUAGGUAUUUCCCUGAUUUCCACUCCGGAGGGAGUGCAGGUCACAACCACGGACAAUGUAAAUAAUUUUUCUUUUGUUUGUGUUAAUUUCAGCUCAGAGCCGCUGCUCUACUCUUAUCAGUGGCUGCUGAAGGGAGAGGCUGUAACUGAGGCCCUUAUACAGGCUGCUCGACAGCUUGUUUCCUCACAGAAUACGACCUUUAGAGACGCAUCUGACCUGUCUUGUACAGCACAUGUGUCCACUGGUCCUGAUGAGAAUUUUGAAAAAUCAUGGUUACGCACACAUGCGGACAAACUGACCUCAACCUCUCUAUUCUGGGAUGAACAUAAGUCUGCGCUUGCGAUUUCUCUCACUAACGAACAAGAGAGAUGUGUUGAUGCUUAUUCUACAGAUCCACACGUCCUUCUGUCAAAACAUGACGGAGACAGAUGGCAGGACUUGGGUCCUAUCGUGGACAGAUGUCAACGGGAAGGAGACUGGCAAACGACUUCCGACCCGAAUGUGAUGUAUUCACCUACUUUGCAUACUUACAAAAAACUUUUUCAGUCUAACUUUCUUGCGCAGCGUACAGUGCACUUGGUACCUCAACAUUCCACACACACUCCACACCACGUGUUUUUGUCAGAGGACGCUCUGACGCAGUAUCCAGCCUUACAGGAAGUUCCAGCUUCCCUGUGGGCCACACACAAAUAUAAUGUAGGUUUGAUCAAAGGGUGUGACCCAGUGGUCAUCACGCCAAAAUCUGACCACAGACCAUGCAAACAGCAAUACCCUUUAAAGAGAGAAGCAAUUGAAGGAAUAACACCAGUGUUUAACUCUCUGUUGAAAGCAGGAGUCAUCGUCCCAUGUGACAACUCUCCAGUGAGGACUCCACUCUUCCCAGUUAAGAAAAUCAGAGACAAAGGACAGCCAACAUGUUACAAACAGAAGGGAGGUUUGUCCAGGAUCUGCAGGCAGUAA
rnacentral:lncRNA from 1 species